rnacentral:lncRNA from 1 species
GUUGAGCAAUUAAUGGAAAGGUGUGAAGGCCCGGUUGGGAGAAAAUCAGCACUUGGUUGUAUGACUUGAAGAGGAGAACAGUGGGCAGGUAAGCACUACGUGGUAAGAAAAAGCGCAUGCUAAUUUAGUUUUCGUUAGUUUUCACUGUUAUUACCAUCUGUUUGCAGCUUCCUAAAAAUGAGUGGUGUCAUGAUCAUUUGACAGAAUGAAGAACAUAAAGGAGCAUAGGCCGAUAGGAAUGGAACUUGUGAGUUAGUAGUACCUUGCUUUAAGCGAAAAAGUUAAUUUUCCUGUUUGUACGGCAGCAAUACAUAUCACUAAAAACAAAAGAAUGUUUAUGAAGCAGUUCUAGACGUGGUAACAGAUUAUCUGUAAAAACCAAAGUAUGCCAUAGCUGUACAUUGAAAUUUUCUUUAGGGGACAUUUUGCAUUUCCUUUUUUGAACCAUAACUUUGCUUCUUUAUCAGAUGCAUAGUGUUCUUCUGCAAAAUAUGUAUGUGCUCCCAUAUUAAGAUUUUUUUAUGAGGUGCGGUAUUAUGCUCUGGUUUUACCAAUCAACCAGUUCGUUCUUUUCCCACAUGUAUUAUAAUUAUAGAUGUUAUAAAAUUGGUACUUCCCAUUUGCAGCAGUUUCCUUAAUUCAGCAGUUGCAUGGUGUGCAUCAAUACGUUGCUCGAUGGAUUAGUUUUGCAGCUCAUAUCAGUUGUAUAGGCCACCAUUUAUCUUUUGGACCCAGAAGUUGGAAAAGUUUGGCCCGGCUAGCUGCGGAUAUUGCACUAUGGAAAGUUGGAGAAGUUGCAGCCUCUUUUUUUUUGAACCUUGAACAGUAGGAGAACGUCCUACUGUAAGUUGCAGCCUCUUAGGGUGUGCUUGGUUCGGGAACGAAGUGUAAUGGAUUGUCGAGGUUCCAUUCCACUAGAGUGGUCGGUUCUGUCCUUGUGUUUGGUAGAGACAACUCGAAGGAAUGGAAUGGUUACAUUUUGGUGUUUGAUUUGAGAGAUGGAAUAAAGUGGAUUUGUUCAUCUCACAUUGAGUUAGAUUCGAUUUCAGUCAAACAAAAAUGGCUGAAGAAAGUGGUCAUCCAUUCAACGAUGCAACAAAGGCAGGUAAACAUUGAAUUGGAUUUCAGAACAGGCAUGUGAGCAUAGAUUCAAUAACCAAAUGCUUGAGCAUGCUCUUCCAAAAACAAACCGCAGAGAAACAAAAAAGAACAGAUCGAUUGGGACUCAAGCACAAGAUCAACAGCAGCCACCCAAAUACCAAAAUCUGGAUCGGUGCUUCUUUUCUGAUUUAACUCCUGCUGGUGCGUGCUCAGGCGAUGCCAACAGCCAGCACUAGGAGCGGCUGCUCCAUCAAACACGGCGGUGUGAUGCUUCCCGGCGUGUCAGUGCGAACAUGGCUUAAUCCAAACGAUGCCCUAUGCAAUGAGUCAACACCCAAAUUUUUGGCAUGGCAACUGCCGGCCACGAUCCAAACAGCCCCUAUCCUUCUCCCAACAACCAAUGUGUUCCAUUCCAUUUUUCAACCGAAUACGAGAAUCACUCCCAGGUGCAGGUCGAACCCUUUACAUUCCACUUCAUCCCCCAAAGCAAACACACCCUUAAGAAUUUGGUUAUUGGAAACCCCCUUUGAUUCAGCUUUUAGCUUUUGGACCCAGAAGUUGGCAGCUGAAGCUGAACCAAGCACAGCCUUACUGAUCUGUGCAUUUUAGGCAAACAUUUCUGUGGACUUUGUUGUCUGUGGUACGCCAUUUUUUCCUACACAGAGUCUCCAUUGUCAUUUCCUUUGUUAUCUUUAUCCUAUAGGAUACCUGCUAUUGCCUCGUCGGCACUUCAUGUACACCCGUUUGAUAAAACUACAAUAAUUGAGCAUCAUGUUUAUGCAUUUUUUCUUGCUAUAUAAUUGUUACUGUUCCUAUAUAUUAAGCUUAUAUGAUACUCCCUCCGUUCACUAUUAUAAGAUGUUCUAACUUUUUUCUGAUUCGGAUAUAUAUAGAUACAUUUUAAUGUGUUUGGUCACUCAUUUCAGUCUGUAUGUAGUUCAUAGUGAAUUAUCCAAAACAUCUUAUAGGAGUGUUUGUGAACCGAGGUAGUAUAUCCAGUCUGGUUGAUCUGGUUGUUCUUUUCAUUCUUUUUCCUCUUGUGUUGGAUCCCUGUUUCUGGUGCCUUCCCCGCACGUUUUGUAGUUUCAGUUUGCACAGGAUGUUGGCUAGGAACAAUAGCCAGCCAUCGCAGUCCAGAAUUUUGACCUUUUGCUUUGUUCAAAGAAUCAUGCAUUUAACUUUGGUUUUGUAGGUAUGCUGUCACAAGCGUGUCUUUUCAUUUAGUUGAAUAGUUUUUGUAGGCUAAAUCACUGGGCUAUGGAAAAUUUAUCCCUUCACUCUAAAGGUUGGUGGUGCACAGAUUAUUAUUAUUUUGUUCCCAGAAAACUAUUAGGAAAAGCACAAAUAAGAAUGCACUCGCUAAUGUCCAUGCCCUCUAAUAUUUUUUCAAGAUUGAAUUUACUUGGCUAAGUUUCGAGUAUAGAUUUCUAAUGGUUUAGCCUGUAGAAUGUUUUCAGAGUUUCAGCUGAGUUGCUCUAAGAUUAUGAAAGACAGAAUUGUCUCCUCUGCUUGUCUAAGCUAGCUGACUUGGCUAUUCCUCCUCUGCAUUAGUCUCUAAAUGAGAUGUUUUAAAAGCUAUCUCUUAUUAUAAAGAUAUGAACAAUCCAAACUGUCAAAAGAAAACAAAAAGUAAUGAAGUUUGAGGACAGAGGAAAGAUACCGUAGGCAUGUGUCAGACUGAGAAGAAAAGGAGAGAAAGAGGGGCCAUGCUCAUGCAAAGGGCUCGGAUCCUAUGUUGGAGCAGCGGCUGAGAUAUGCGUUGUGCAUGGAACCAGUUAGGAUUCGCCAUAUUCGCCUCAGUUGUUUGUUUUAACUCUUGAAUAGACAGCAUUCCAAUUGACUUUUCUCGACAAGGAAGGGCUAUGACUAGGAUUUUCUGAUACCCUUUUUUUUUACUUUCAUAUUUCUUUCUUGGAUAUGACCAAGUCAAUGCAUUUUUUUUGUUUCCUUCAAACACAUUUCUUCGUAUUUAUUUGGUUCUCAUGCAUCUUGUGAUGGAAGCAAGAACUCUGUCUAUAAAAAAAGGGCAGCCCGAUGCAAGUAGCUCCCGCUUGCACAGGGUCCGGGGAAGUGUUUGAAUUUUUGCUAGGCAGGGUUGCUGUUGAAUCCUUAUUCGCAUUUUAGAUCAUGUGGGUUCAUGAAGGUGAGCGCCCAUUGGCAAAAUAAGGAAAGCAGUUGUCUUAAUGAAUGUACAUAUGUGCCCUGCGUGUUUAUGAAGGUUUAUAGAACCAUCUACGAACUUGCUGGUUUAUGAAUGGGAAGUUACUCUAAUUUCUAAUCCCUCGUGUUUCAGGUUCUUUCCUUGAGGGUUGGAGCUAUCAGGUUCUUUCCUUGAGAGGGUUGCUAAUAAGGAACAAUUUUUCAAUUCUGUUGCAGCUAGUGGCAUCCAGGGACGGAUGAUUUAAAUUGAAGAAGGGUGGCCGAAAAUUAGCUACUUUAGGAAUGAGAGGUCUUGCUGCCAGAUAAAAGUAAACUUAUUAAAUCAACGAAAUAUCCAUUUUCACCUCGAAUGGGAGUCAGUAAUGUCUCUCUUUCCUUUAUACCUAAGGUAAUUCCUUAUAUCUUUGUAGUACAUGACUUACUCGAAUCCACUUAGUUUUACUAUCAUUUAUACAUGCUUGGAUACCUUUACUGUGCUUUGAAGUGGUUACUGAUUUCUUAGUUACAUUUUCCCCCUUUAGUUGAUCAAUGAAAUUAAUAGCUGUGUUUCCCACUUUUUGGUUGAACAUUGAAAUUAAUAGCUGUGUUUUCCCCCCUUUGGUUGAUCGAC